rnacentral:lncRNA from 1 species
GGAUGCCCUGUGGACUUCUAUCAAAGUGAUGGAUGAGGGUUUUUCUUUUUUGACUACUGAAAAUGCAAGGAAAUAAAAAAUGUACCCAACCCCCAGACUUUUAAUCCUCCUCUUGCAUUUGUAGCAGAUCUCCACUCCAAUGAGUGAUUGAGGACUGUGAACACAGAAUGUGAAGGACAACCGCUCCAGCAGGAAUAUUUGAGAUGGCUGAAGCAGAAGUAAUCAAAUCUCAUUUGUCAAGGCUGGCUUAUUAUGUUAGCCAUCUGAAGAGAUCAUUUCUUUCUAAAGCUACAGAGGAAGAAAAUUUGCAACAAGGCUUUAUUGAUCUGGGAGAGAUUCCCUAUACUUACAUUUACAAGCACCGAUGGAACACAAGCAAAAACUGUCAAAAUUGAAGAAACAUAUCAAAGUUUUCCAUGUGUUUUCCAUUAAGAAGAUGAAUUGCAGAGUCGGACUGCACUUCAAGGAAUUUGGAUGCACCGGUUGUGAGCUUGGAAGAAGUGAUGUUUAAGUAUCAACCAGCCCUCAUGGGGCCUCCUUACCUUUUAAUGCUCUAGCACAUGGGAUACCUCCAGUCAAGGAGCAUCCACAACCAUCAAACCCCUUCAGGACUCCUUUCUGCAGCUCAAAGAGCUGAACGAAAACACUCCUGAUGAGUCUGUGGACAUAAGCUGAAACUUUCCUGGAUCUGGAAAACAUGAAAUGCGUCAAGGAAGUAAAUAUGAAUCUAGAAAUAUGAAGAUUCAGAAGAAGUACUGGGGGCCUGAUUUUUGUGGAUUUCUGUAGCAUUACCAAGAAAUUCCCAUUUACUCUGGGAGCGGCAAGGCUGUAUUUGAAAUCUUCUGAUCGAAAAAAAAAAGUUAACCCAGCUGUAUUCACAGUAUGUCACUGAUGCAGAUGAGAUUCCACUCUGUAUUUUGUUUGAAGCCAUCUGACAGGAUGAAGGAAUCCAGAGACAGAACUCAUCAAAAUGGAGGCAAGAGAGCAAUACCUUUGGAGCUGGAUUCUUUGAGGCAGAUUGAAUAAAUGCUCCGAAGUGAGCUAGAAACCGAAGGGAAUGUAUCCCUUUCUAAACUUUUUCAAAUUGCAUCACAGUGAUGAUCCAAAAUUCUGCUGGAGCAGUUGAAAGAGAAAUUCCAAUGAAAAAUAGUAAUACUGGCAGCAUUUGAUAAAUCGCUCGGGUAAAGAUCUUCAAACCAAGGACACUAGGUGUGUGAAACUUAAGGAAGAAUUUGAACCAUGAUCCAGCUUCCAGGCAGUCAUUCCUGUUUCUCCCCCUAUCAAAGAAUCUGUGGGACUGCAAACUGAGCUAGACUGCAUAAAUGAUUGUCACUGAAGAUGAGCAAAAGAAGAUGAACAGCAUUUUUAAUUUUUUCCUUGACAUCUGGAUUUUUGCUGGGUUCCAUCUUGCAUCAUGGACCAAUGAAAAGUUCCAACAUUACAGAGAAGUCCAAUGACACAACAUAGCCAAGAGAACAGAAAUAAAGAAAAGAUGGAGAACUCUACAGGCUUGUCUUCAAGAAAACGGAUUGUGUUAGUAGAUUAUUAAACAUCAGGAACAGUUAAUGCACUCUAAAAGGAACUAUCUGAAAACAACAUCCCAAGUUAUUUUUAUCUGAUAACAACUGAGGAGAGAAUUCAGUAGGAUGAACAAUGAAAGUUAUCUCAGGUAUAGGCGGACUUUGGCCAUUUAGUUUACAGGCAAGUUAUUUCAGACUAUAAAAUAAUAAAAGUCUUCCCCAGUCCUCAAGGUUAUGUCAAUGGGCAGUUUGUCCUUUAUGAAAAAUUAAUAUCUGCCUUUCCAGGAUCUGAACUUGUAACAGUGAAUAUGUCAUUUGAUUGCAGUGACUUGGUACAGCAAUUGCUAUGUGCCUGCUAGUUAGCAAUUUGGGGAUUGAUUUUUACUUGGAGCUUGAAAUAGAAGAGACAAGGGGACUUAUAUGUAAUGUAAUACACGUACUACACUCAUCCACCCAUCCCCACUUCACAUCCCUGUUGGAUUUUUCAAUGGUUAACGUAUUACAAUUGAACUGUUUAUGUUUAUUAGCUAUGGAAUAUUGCAGAUUACAUUACAAAAAUGCUGUACCAUUUAGAAAUAAUUCAUUUAUUCUGUUAAUUUAGCUAAAAAUAUGCACAGAUGUGUAAAUGCAUUUUAUUACAUAAAAGAGAUAAAGAAUAUAAUGUUUAUCAAAUUUCAGAUUAAAAUAAAAAGUGUAAAAAUUUGAUUCUGCCAGCCCACUGGUGUAUCUUCCAAAUUCAUGUUUUCUGCCUCAAAUAGUGUAAUGAAAGAUAACAUUAAUGGGAGGGAACAGGAG